rnacentral:rRNA from 1 species
UACGUAGGUGGCAAGCGUUGUCCGGAUUUAUUGGGUUUAAAGGGUGCGUAGGCGGUUUUUUAAGUCGGUGGUGAAAUACUUCAGCUUAACUGGAGAGGUGCCAUUGAUACUGGGAAACUUGAGUACUGAUGAGGUAGGCGGAAUGGACGGUGUAGCGGUGAAAUGCUUAGAUAUCGUCCAGAACACCGAUAGCGAAGGCAGCUUACUAAGGAGUAACUGACGCUGAGGCACGAAAGUGUGGGGAUCAAACAGG